rnacentral:miRNA from 1 species
AGUUUGUUCGCCCCGGCUCGA